CUUUUCCCUGCAUGCGAUUCCUGUCUCUCACUUUGCUGAGAGGGACUAUUAAAGACGAAAAAGAAGAAAUAAGCCAGGGACCCCAGGCUCCUGCAACAAUAGGUGUAGUCCAAGCAGGAGUAUCUGCACUUAAUCCUCGGAGAGUGAGGAAUGCAGCCGGAGUUUGCAGCCCAUAAAUUAAUAAACAAAUGCAGUAGCUUUAUCUAGUAAUUUACUGCCUAUCAAUUUGCAUUGCAAAAAUCCCCAGUCACAGUGGGAAAGGCAAGCACGAGGAGUGAAGUGACUUACACACGAUCACUCAGGGAGUCAAUAAAGAGCUUUAGAAAAGGAGCCAGCCAGCCCCAGGACUCACCUUGCACUGCACUGCCUCCUUCCCUUUCAUUUAUUCAUACAAACGAAUAAAUUGUUUAUGACUGUAAGUUUUUUGUUUUCCCCUCUAGAGCCGUGUUUGUAGGUGUGCACGCAUGCGCCUCUGAAAGCUGCUGUUUGACUCGACUAUUCCCUAACACUGAGGUGCUCUGUUUUCCGUCAUUGAUCUCAAUUUGGUACAUGUCAGUAACUUGUAAUGAUCAGCCUGAGUUGCACACCUAAUACUAUUAGUUGAGCCUGAUAUGCUUGUAAUUUAUUUUCUAGUAACUUAGAGUAUAAGUGAUCUAAAUCAGGGGCUAAACAUCCAGAAAUGCUUUGCUCUUUUGCUGGGUUUAAUCAGUGAUUGUGAAAAGCAAGAAUAUUAUCUUCACAUUUAUCUCCCAUCUGCCACCUAAGAAUCUCAGAGUGCUUUAAAAUCUUUUAUUAAUGAAGCCAUUCAACAGCUUUAGGUAUUGCUUUGCCAUUCUGUAGAUAAGGAAACAGAGGCUCAGUCAUGUUGAGCCAGUGAGUGACUGAUAGACAUGGGAACUGAACAGACACUGAGAUUCUCCCUCCCAAGCACUACAUGCUGUUAUUAUAAACUGUUUGACUGAUUUGGUGGCAAUUUGCUGGCCUUAAAGCGUGAAUAUCAGCAUUCCUGACAAUGGGACACCCAUGUGGUGACAGGACUGAGUACCCUGCAGUGCAGGUGCCUCCUGGAUGGCAAGUUUGCAGUGCCAUACAGAGGGCACAGAGCAGUUUUAUCUGUGCAAAACAACUUUUCCUGGUCUUGAGUUUUGUUGAGGAAACUGAGGUUGCUGCCAUACAUGUGGUGGGAUACCACAUACAUAAAUAUGUACUUGGGGGAAGGGGGGAAUGUAACCUGUCAUCACACCUUGAAGGGCUGCUGACCCAUGAGUCAGCACCCUUGAAUCCCUCAUCACAGAAGUCCUAAUUUUCCCGCAGUCCACAGGACAAAGUACUCCAAAAAAUUUAUUGUGUAGUUAAGCUGUAGGGAGCCUGAUUCAGGGGAAGAGGAGAAGGACAGGUAUUAAAUACACAUCACUGAGUAGCUGAUUUGUAAAAUAAAAGAAAUCUGAAUGAGUUUCAGACCAGAUAAUUAUAAGCAAUGCAACAAAGAUCUGCCUCCCAUCAUCUUACUUUCUGUUUUCUCUGGCUACAGCAUUACAAAAAGGACAGAACGUGUCACAUAUUACAGGAUGAGUCAAAGGGGCUACAGGUGCUACAGGUUUAAACACUGAGGACUCAGUGCUGCUUUCCAGGAGGCAGGGGUGGAAAAUUCAUCACUUUGUGUGGAAAAUAUAAAUGUUUUAGAAAGUGCAGUUCUAGAGAUAAGAGCAGGGGAACUGCAUGGAUACGCUCCUUGCCCCUGUCCUGCAGCUAUUUGCCCUAUUACUGAAAGAGAAGAAAACAGAAGAGGUUGUUUCUCUGACUAAACUGUGGUAGCAUCCUUCGGCUUUUAAUUCCCCUUUAACAGUCCAACAGGCCACAUCCUCUUCUCCUCACACAAUCCCCUGUUCAUGCUGCCCACCUACCUCUUGGGUUGCUGUGGGAGACAGAGCCCACAAUGGCCAAUAAAUUACCAAGCUCAAAAACAAAUCACUGCUCCUUUUCCUCAUUCAGUCUGCCACCAAUCCUUCCCCACAUACAGAGGUACCAGCCUAGGUGCUGGUAGGACAUACAAAGGUGAGCAUCACUUCAGACUGCCCUGGCCAGAGACAGAAAAUGCCUGGACAGUCCAUGAACAGGAGAAAUAGAGUGGCUGUGUGUUGGCCCUCUGAUGGGGAUUUGCUCUACAUUCUGCCUACCAACCUUCCUUUGCUGGAAACCAGUGGUUAAACUGCCUUAGGCAAAAAUGAGAAGGGCCAAGAAAACCAAACUCUAGGAGUACACCAUAAAAAUAAAUAAUGAAAAAAGGCAAAACCUGUGAAGCUAGCUAUAAAUACAUCACAGGAUUCUGGUGACACCAUAAAGUACUGGAACUUCACUCUGCCUUGCUUUAUGAGAUGUCACUGGAUGUAUUUACUGCCCUGUAGUUCACAGGUGACUCAUUUAUUUAGCAGCACCACUGCAGGAAAAGGGCAGAUUUUAAUUGCAGUCUUCCUUUUGGGUGGCAAGGGGAAGUUUAUAGUCAGAAGUGAGGUUUCAACAUUAUUCCCAUUAGAUUUACUUCAGAAGAGGCUGGCUUUGUUGUAUUCAUAUUAGUUUAUUUGGUCUGGGUAAACAUAGUCUUUCUAAAUGCUCUUGUCCCUUCAGAACCAAGAUGGAAUCCCUUAAAGGAUAAUGGUUUCCAUGAUAUGUUGUGCCCUACAAAUAUGAGAAAAGUCUUAUUUCCUACACAGCUGUUUCUUUUACUAAAAGAGCAGAGGGUCACUAUAAUCUGCAGAAAUGAGAAAUAAUAAAACAAUUGUUUCUGAGUUUUAGAAUCCCAGAAAGAGACCCAGUCAUCUUCAAGCCCAGUAAGGAUUUGUACUCUGCCUUAUUUAAAGGAUCAAGUACAACUUUCUCUAUGUUUCUUACUAAAUCUUAGCAGUUAAGUACUUUGUUGCACUCAGAACUGAGAAAUCAGUGCUGCUGUAAAAUCACAGAUAUUUUAAACUGGAUCCAAUGGGGAAAGUUGAUUGGCAUUUAUCAGGGCAGGGUGCCUGCCAGAGAGAGGACAGCUUUGCCUCCACCAGUAGAGGCUAACAAGGUACAGUGUUAGUCAGUGCUUUGGUAUAUAAUAAGGUUAAGAGAAUAAGGUCAGCUAGAACAGCCUGUCACCCAGAAGCUUUUGCCAGACUGAACUGCUUCUCUCAAGGUUCAAAACACUUCCAUUAUUUUUUUUUAAUGUACUUUUACAAAAACAAGGAGGGUGAAAAUAUGUCAUACAUAUGAUGUUAAAAUACAGUUUUAAAUAAACUAAACUAAAAUAAACCAGAGGGAAUUGCAUGCUGCAGAGAGCUUAGGACUGGCAUAUAGACACCUUUGUCUUUAGCAAGCUAUUUCAAAUUCUGCUGACAACAGCAAUGGCCAAAAAUCCUGGUAAAUUCCUCAGCACUGCUGGCAGAAUUAACUGCUCUGAGACUAGUCCCUGGUGCCCCACUGUCCUUGUCAUCACUGUCUCUCUGCAGGCAGCCUCAAGAGGCAGGACCCAGCAGCACCAAAAAAUUAUCAGUGUUUGCUCAUCCAGAGCGAAAGGGGAGGGUUGCUCCAGGACAGGGCUGAGAAGUACGCACACAGCUGCUGUUAUGCAGUACUUUCCUUGUGUGCAGUACUUUUCUUGCAUACAACCAACUUGCUGCAGUCUCUGUAGUUCUCAGCUUUAGUCCGUAUCUGGCAAAAAAAAAAAAAAAAAAAGGAAAAGGAGGAACCUUUUCUCAGGGCUUCUGUGCUUUCCUUUAAAAACCACUAAGUCCAGUUACCUGCAAAAGUUGAAGCAUAUGUCUUACAUGUUACCAGUAACAAAGGUCAGGUAUUCUCUUUUCUGCUCAGCUCCAAUGGACCACAGAUUGCCAAAAGCAACUGAUAUAGAAGCUUUAGAGCCUAGUUUUGUUCUCAUUUAUGUCAGGGUGAAUAAACUCAACACAGCCAGUAGAUUGACACCAGUGAAGGGAAAUCUGAUCCUUGGUGUUCAUUUGUGAAAGAAAAAUUCAAGUUAAUUACAACCAGGUAGUCUGGGCUAGCAGUAAGUUAGCCAAAAGGGAUGGUAACCACUGAGACACAAAUUCAGUUCUAUCAAACAUCCAAUUUAAGGGCCAAAAAUCUCAUAAAGUUCAGACUUUCUGACACACCCAGAGUCCUAUGUUGGUGGAAAUAAGCAAGAACAAGUGCAUGGGCACACAAGUACAGCAACAUGUCUCUUUUUGAUAAGCAUUAAUCAACUAUAAUUGGGAAAGAGGCAAUGUCAGGAUUUGCUAAUGCAAACUGACAAUAACAUGUUAAAAUUGCCUGUUUGCUGGAUAAUGUGCAAAGGCUGAUCCACUGUACUCAGCACUAUGCAAACUAACACAAGCUGAGAGUCCCUUCCCUGGAGAGAUUAUAGACUUGCUGGAAAGGCAUGAGCCAACAUAUGUCAGAACAGCUUUAUGAGCAAACAGUACCUUUUCUUGGCCACAGUCUGCUAGUCUGCAAACCUAUGAGAAUGGAAGGCACUGGCAAUAGUGCCUUGACACAGGAGUGUCUGUCCCAGUCUUUCAGCCCUGAGCAUGGGAGCUCUUCACUCCCUCAUCCCUGGGAAUUCUCCUUCACAGAAAGUGCUGCAGAGAUACCCCUGACCACCUGCACAAAGCACCAGCAAGCAUCCUCUCUCCCAAAGCUGCCUCAAAAAUGAGGACAAAAUCCUUCUCACACCUCUGAUCUCCAGCAGAUCAGCAAUUAUGAAUGGGAUUUGUGUUAAAUAAAGGACGCUCGAGUUUAGUUUAUUUCAAUCAUCAUAAGGAGGUUCUGUUAUUCAGGUACGAACCCUCUCCCCUUCUGUCUCACCAACACUUUAGUCCCACCCUCUGGGGUACUUUAUCAAAGUGGGCUAAACAGGCUCUAGUCUGCUCUUAGCCAUGUGCUGACAGGCAGACUCUCAUCUCACAAGAGACAGCUGUUCUUCUGUGGCUGCAGAGCUUUUUCCUCCAGGAAGGUUGGAACUGCAUCUAUCUCUUACUCUCAGUAAAAGCUGGGCUCAAUGGCAGCUGCUCAAAGCUUGUCAGGCAGAGAAACAGAACCUGCUUGGACUUCUUGUAUCCCUUUCAGCAAUGUGACAUUUUUAUCAAAGGUUUGUUCAGGCUCAGAAAGAUUCUAGAAACUAAAAGACUAGCCGAGUUUGAAAAAAUCAGAGUUGCCCAGUGCUUGACCUUAGAUAAUUACUAAAUCACCAAUGAAGAAAAAGAGCCCAACAGUUUAAUUUUCUGAUCUUUCUUUCACAGUAUUCACACUUCUACUACCUAAGUUUCACUAAAUGUAUCAGUAUAAAAUGGUAGUGACCUGUAGAACUUGUUUCCAUCAUUCAUAACAGCCCCCUCUUACACAUCUGUGAUUUACCCUGAUUUUAUGUUGAGCAAAAUUCAUCUCUAGCCUAACCCAUAGCAACUGAUACUAUAGAUCCACGUGGAUGCUCUGUCUAUGGAAACAAAACGAUAGGUGUACCUUCUUAUGUUUGGAAUCCGUGUUGUUAAGUCUCAGGUGAAGGGGAACAGCCUGUUUCCAGCCUAGUGUGAGCCCUGCCUGGGAUAACACACUGCUGUGAUCCCCUGCCUUCAGUGACUCUCACAGCAGCAGGAGGUUAGAUGCACCAGCACAUCACAGAUGUUGCCCACUGUAAUUUUGUCUGUAUCUUUUCUGCAGAUCUAGAUCUGGAAGGUCUGCAAGCCGUGCCUUAGACACCAGGGCAAAUAUUAAUACUGCAGAACUAACAUCUAUGUCACAAAUUCUUAGUGUGAAACACUUAGCUGGGAAAUUAUUUUUAAGAGUUCUGAGUUCUAAAAUUUAAAUAUCAGCUGAAAUACUGAAGUAGAAAGACAUAGAGAAUAGAUGGAGCUAAAAUACCUGCUGAGAUAAAUAGGGAACUACUUUAAUUUUACCCAUGAAAGCAGAAAGAAGACUUAUUUUUUCCUUUUGCACUCAAAGAAAUCUUGUCUGACACAGAAAGGAAAAGCUGGAAAUACUGUUGCUCCUUUAAACUGACUUCUGUGCUAAUGAAAAGUGAGUUCUCUAAUAUGCACUGUGCACAGGCUCCCCUCUGCUUCCCUUCUCUCUUCCAUCUAUCAUUUUUGCCUGGCUUUUGCCUGCAAUCACCUGUUCAGCUCACAGCAAUAACUUCCAGGUGACUGCUGUUUGCUGUGGUCAUCCAGCCACCAAAAAAAAAAAA